UACGUAGGGAGCAAGCGUUGUCCGGAAUCAUUGGGCGUAAAGCGCGCGUAGGUGGCCCCAUAAGUCCGCUGUGAAAGUCAAAGGCUCAACCUUUGAAAGCCGGUGGAUACUGUGGGACUAGAGUACGGAAGAGGCGAGUGGAAUUCCCGGUGUAGCGGUGAAAUGCGCAGAUAUCGGGAGGAACACCAAUGGCGAAGGCAGCUCGCUGGGACGUGACUGACGCUGAGACGCGAAAGCGUGGGGAGCAAACAGG
rnacentral:rRNA from 1 species